CUACUCCUGCUCACUAGGACUCUGAUCUAGUGAAUGUCCUGCCCUGCCCUGGCCCGCCAUGGCCACCAGGCUCCUCUGCUGGGCAGCCCUGUGUCUCCUGGGGGCAGAACUCAUAGCAGCUGGAGUCACCCAGUCCCCCAGACUAAAGAUUUCAGAAAAAGGACAGAUCAUAGCUUUUUGGUGUGACCCUAUUUCUGGCUACAAUACCUUGUACUGGUACCGGCAGAGACCGGGACAAGGGCCAGAGCUCCUGACUUACUUUCAGAAUGAGGCGAUGGUAGGUGAAUCUCUGUUGCCUAAAGAUCGAUUUUCUGCAGAGAGACCCAAGGGCGCAGACUCCACUCUGAAGAUCCUGCGGGCAGAGCUGGGGGACUCGGCUGUGUAUCUCUGUGCCAGCAGCUUAGCCACAGCAUCACAAGGACGCUCCCCACCUGUGCACAAAAUUAGAGACUUUUAUUUUGCUUCUGCCGAGUGUAUGGAAGUUUUAAAAACCUGGAGUUCCCCGAACAAGAAUUCAAGGCUUCAGGUCUCCUGGUCAUGUGGAGAACUGGUUUACCUCCAGCUCAUCAUCUAUAGGAGUUUGCCAGUGCUUGAGUUUGCUGUUCUGUUGUCUUUGACCUUGUCUCCCUGGCCUGGUGGUCAGCCCUAUGUGUACCAGGUCAUGUCAGGAUCAGCAAAUACACCCAAUGACUAG